UGGAGGGAUCUGUAAAGCUCAGGAGGGAUAGCGCCAUGGAAAAUGAUAUGAUGUUUUCUUUUUGAUUUUCAGAAUUUUUCUUUUAAAUUAUUAUUUUUUGGUACAAUAAAUUCAUCUUUUUAAUUAUGUUUUUUGGUACAAUAAAUUCAUCAAUUAUAUUUGGCGCUAUCCAUCCUGAGUUCUAUGGCUCCUUCAU
rnacentral:pre_miRNA from 1 species